rnacentral:rRNA from 1 species
UACGUAGGGUGCAAGCGUUAAUCGGAAUUACUGGGCGUAAAGCGUGCGCAGGCGGUUUUGUAAGUCUGUCGUGAAAGCCCCGGGCUCAACCUGGGAAUUGCGAUGGAGACUGCAAGGCUUGAAUCUGGCAGAGGGGGGGAGAAUUCCACGUGUAGCAGUGAAAUGCGUAGAGAUGUGGAGGAACACCGAUGGCGAAGGCAGCCCCCUGGGUCAAGAUUGACGCUCAUGCACGAAAGCGUGGGGAGCAAACAGG